UCCCGAUCAGCAGAUGCUGCACACGGCACCACACUGUUCAGACAUUCUUGUGGAUUCAUUCUACCUGUCUAAACCCGGCCAGAAUUCAUAAGUCUCUAAAUUCAGAUUAAUACUUAAUCUUACAGUUGCAGUGAUGGCCACGCCUUCCAGCAUGGAUGGAGAAAGUGAUGGCACUGGACUUGGAGAAGGUUGGUUCACUUGGUUGGAGGGUUGGAAAGCCUGGGAGGUCAACGUCGCUGUUACGCUAGUUUCUGGAGCCAUCAUGUUACUGCUCUGUCAUGUUGUCGGCAGUUGGAGGCUGGUCAACCCUUACCGCAAGGACCCGCAGAAAGAGGCCGAUCAGCAGCAGAAACUGAUAUGGACCGAGGUGGUCUUGAUCGCGGUGACCCUGGUGGUGGCCCGUGCUUUCUACGACCACGGCCGUGGUCAGUUCCUAAAAUGGUCUCCUUAGGUCCUUCCUUCAGCCAGUGCAGUCCGCGCAUCUAUGACAAGCAUAGAACAUUGCAAAAUAAUCUAGUGCCUGCGGAGUACAUUAAUCACAUGAUACACCUGGGCUUAGUACGUCCGUAUCAGAUUAAGAACGUCGGUCUCUGUAUGAUGAAUGAGUUGCCGAAUGAAAUACGCAGCGCAUCUUGCUGCAUCGAAAUCUUGCUGAAUGUUCCUGAUUAAGGGAAGUGGGCCGGUACAUGGUACCAAAUUCGUGUACAUCCACUAUUCUCCUAAUUAGCGGAUUUCCAAUAUUCAAGUGUAUAUGGCGUAUAUGGUGUAUAUGGUGUAUUGGUUGUAAAAUAAGUAUUUUCAAAAAAGACUGCCAUAGACCAGAUCUGCGCUUCUGUAGUCUUUUCUUUCUGUUUCUUGUCAACACGCUCAACAACUAAUAUUUAACUUAUAAUUAUAUUUAACCUUGAUUUAAAAUAUAAUAAUUACUAGUACCGCUGCGCAUGGGCCGUUCUGCGUCAUUUCCGGUGGCACUGCAGAAUGCACAUGUCCCGCCCUCCUCGAUAGCCACACCCCCUCCGCUGUCUGCCGCCAUCGUCCUGUCGUCCAAUCACAGAGCACCAGCGGCCAGCUUUCGCCCAGUCGAUAUACAGUACUAAUCGUAUAUAGUCACUUCUUCUCUGCCGUCGGUUAGACGCAGUUAAGGACACUUGCUACAUUCCUUCGAGGGACUCUUAUGCGUGCAUGUGGUCCGUGGAUUAUUCAAACUGUUAAGGAAAAAUUGUUAAGAGCACUGCAAUUUUAACAACUUCUCUUCAACUAAUGAGAACUACUUGAGUAGUGUUCGCAAUCUUGUUGUUCCCGAUCGGAUGGUUGGCCUCUCCUCACUCUUGACUCUGGAACAUGCUUUUAAGAGUCAGCUACCUCCAUCCGGUUAUUCCAUCCUUCGGUUGGACCAACCAGCCUGCACCGGAAAUGCUGUGGAUUGUUCAGCCGCACUGUCAACGCCUGAUCGUCGGUGGACGGGAAAUGGCAUUUUUACUCCAUCUAUGAUCAGGCUAUGGCAUGUGCGCAAUGCGCGGAACACUUUUCCCUACGAUGUGCUCGGGAUCCGGCGGAUGUGCUGACGACCAACCCGGCGCGAUUCCCCUUCACCUUCAGGAUCGCCAACCGGAGCUUCUUCAGCGAGGGUAGGUUGUAGCAGAUGAACCGGUGCUGCUUAACCGGAAGUUUGUAACAAUGCCGUUACAAUUUUCAGUUCGUCUUUGCUCAGUUAUUUCGGUAUC